CAAGGAUGAUUUGCUGGACCAAACACUUCCUGUACGCUGCUUAGGUUGACGUGGAAACUGAAAUCGUCGAAUUUCGCAUGAGAAUCGUAAGCUUGAUUCAAGAAAAGCUUCAGAAGAUUCGUACUGUGCAGAAUACUACGGUUAUAAGGUACAACCAUGUGUAAAUGGUUCCCUUUAUCACUUCCAGUGGCAGAAGAAACAUUACACGCGAUUGUGCAUCUUCAAGCAAUUAAAUAGUGAAUCAUUCUUUAAAGCGAAUUCAGGUUGAGAUGGUGACUGUGGUGACUUCAAGUUUUCUCUGCUGCCAAAUGGACUAGAUGUCUGAAACGUUCA